GGUGGUUCUCGGGUGAUGCACCCAGGAAUCAGGCUCCCUCCUCUCUGGUUCUAGUUGCGUCACGCGAGAACCACA
rfam:Myotis davidii contig221563, whole genome shotgun sequence.